CAGUGAUUAAAUCCCUGUUCAUGCAGGACAGGGUAUGCCCUUAGGGGCAUAUAUGAUGUCUGAUUGUUCAUGGGCUAAAGGAGAACUGGAACAGUCUGCUUACAAAGACAGUACUUGUGAAUGAAACUUCAAGCUACUGUGCAAAGAAUUGUGACAUCAUUAUCAUGGCUUAAAUCUGCAGUCCUAACACUGGAGAUAGUGGGGAAGAUGAACCAAAGGAACGAUUUCGUAUGCCUGGGUGCACAUUCUGGACUUGGAAAAGUGGCGCUCUUCCUCAGGAUGGUGAAGAAGAUCCUAAAAGCUGGUUUUGGAAAGACAGACGAUUGUUGUUUUAUCUAACGU